ensembl:snRNA U1 U1 spliceosomal RNA
AUACUUACCUGGUAGGGGAGAUACCAUGAUCAUGAAGGUGGUUUUCCCAGGGUGAGGCUUAUCCAUUGCACUCCAGAUGUGCUGAUCCCUCUGUGGUUUCCCCAAAUGUGGGAAACUCAACUGCAUAAUUUGUGGUAGUUGGGGACUGCAUUUGUGCUACCCCUUU